UACGUAGGGUGCAAGCGUUGUCCGGAAUUAUUGGGCGUAAAGAGCUCGUAGGCGGCUUGUCGCGUCUGCCGUGAAAACCCCAGGCUCAACCUGGGGCGUGCGGUGGGUACGGGCAGGCUAGAGUGCGGUAGGGGAGAUUGGAAUUCCUGGUGUAGCGGUGGAAUGCGCAGAUAUCAGGAGGAACACCGAUGGCGAAGGCAGAUCUCUGGGCCGCUACUGACGCUGAGGAGCGAAAGCGUGGGGAGCGAACAGG
rnacentral:rRNA from 1 species